AGACAAAACAAUAUUUCACACUAAUACGCCCGAUCUCGUCUGAUCUCGGAAGCUAAGCAGUGUCAGGCCUGGUUAGUACUUGGAUGGGGGGCUGCACGGUGGUGUAGUGUUUA
rnacentral:rRNA from 14 species